CUGUGCAGGGCAUGUGUAGGUGUUUGGUCUUCCACAGCUGCUGCUAAUCUCCAAAAUGCAGCCUGCCCAGGGCACUUGCCCUGUAUCAGCUGCCUAACCCAGCAUAAGAAAAAGUCUGUAAAAGCUCUCUGACAGGUGUUUGUAUGGGGUGAGUUGUAAAAUGGGUUAGCUAGCUUCCACUCACAAGUGAGAUAUUGAAGCAAGUAAGGAAUGCUAGAUUUUUUUUGUCUUUAAUCUUGGCAGCGCCUUUCUUUGUUUUAUACUUUUGUAGAUUUGCUGUUGCUCUUCUCUGUGUCCUUGCGUGAGUGUGCUGUGUUAUCUUCACAUCCUACUCAGGAGUAAAGCUACCUGCAGACUGCAGUGAAUGAUGACCAACUUGAGAAAGUCCUUAUCUAGGUCCUUCCCUGGAAACCAGAGCAGGUAUCCAAAGCCUCCUUGUUAAACUUGUUUCUCAGCCAAAUCUCAGCUCUGCUGUCUGACACCUGGAUUUUUUUCUUUUCUCUGCAAAAUCAUGCCAUUUGUUGGGUAAUCCUUUACUCACCUUGGGGCUGUAGGCAGAAGAGCUUCCAAAUACCUGAAUACAAAUAGGUGAGCAGCUUUGCAGCAUGACACUCGUGCAAGUUGGCAGGGGCUUCCAGUGACAGCUCGAUGGGUUACGGGCAUUAAGGCUCAGAAAAUCUUGUGAGAACUCCUGAAGGGCUGAAGCAAAGCCUGUUUGAGAUGGCCUACAAAGAUAGGGCUUGA
rnacentral:lncRNA from 1 species